rnacentral:rRNA from 1 species
UGAAUGGCAAAACGAAAGCUCAACUGUCUCCUUAGAUUAAUCAAUGAAAUUGAUCUUUCCGUGCAGAAGCGGAAAUAUUUUUAUAAGACAAAAAGACCCUAUGGAGCUUCAAAUUUAAAUUACUUAUAUUCCCUUAAAAAUAUAAUAAAUAAUUUAACAUAAAAUUUUAGGUUGGGGCGACCGCGGAGUAAACUAGAACCUCCAAGAUUAAUUAAGAAAGACAUUUCAAAAUGAUAAAAUAAAUAAUACUUGAUCCAAUAUUUGAUCAACGAACCAAGUUACCCUAGGGAUAACAGCGCAAUCCCCUUAAAGAGUUCAUAUCGACAAGGGGGUUUACGACCUCGAUGUUGGAUCAGGGCCCCCAAAUGGUGCAGCAACUAUUAAAGGUUCGUUUGUUCAACGAUUAAAGCCCUACGUGAUCUGAGUU